rnacentral:rRNA from 1 species
AUUGAACGCUGGCGGCAGGCUUAACACAUGCAAGUCGAGCGAGCGGCGGACGGGUGAGUAAUGUCUGGGCAACUGCCUGAUGGAGGGGGAUCACUACUGGAAACGGUAGCUAAUACCGCAUACCAUCAGAUGUGCCCACUGGGGAUUAGCUAGUAGGUGGGGUAAUGGCUCACCUAGGCGAAGAUCCCUAGCUGGGCUGAGAGGAUGACCAGCCAAACUGGAACUGAGACACGGGCCAGACUCCGACGGGAGGCAGCAGUGGGGAAUAUUGCACAAUGGGCGAAAGCCUGAUGCAGCCAUGCCGCGUGUGUGAAGAAGGCCUUCGGGUUGUAAAGCACUGUCAGCGAGGAGGCGUUACUCGCAGAAGAAGCACCGGCUAACUCCGUGCCAGCAGCCGCGGUAAUAC